AGUGGCGGACGGGUGAGUAACACGUAAGAAUUUGCCUUUAGGAGGGGGACAACAACUGGAAACGGUUGCUAAUACCCCAUAUGCUUUCGAGUGAAAUGGAUUUUUCCGCCUAAAGAGAAGCUUGCGGCUGAUUAGCUUGUUGGUGAGGUAAUGGCUCACCAAGGCGACGAUCAGCAUCUGGUUUGAGAGGAUGAUCAGACACACUGGAACUGAGACACGGUCCAGACUCCUACGGGAGGCAGCAGUGGGGAAUUUUCCGCAAUGGGCGAAAGCCUGACGGAGCAAUCUCGCGUGAGGGAUGACGGCCUAUGGGUUGUAAACCUCUUUUUUCAGGGAGGAACAAAAUGACGUGUACCUGAAGAAUAAGCAUCGGCUAACUCCGUGCCAGCAGCCGCGGUAAGACGGAGGAUGCAAGUGUUAUCCGGAAUCACUGGGCGUAAAGCGUCUGUAGGUGGUUUAAUAAGUCAACUGUUAAAUCUUGAAGCUCAACUUCAAAAUCGCAGUCGAAACUAUUAGACUAGAGUAUAGUAGGGGUAAAGGGAAUUUCCAGUGGAGCGGUGAAAUGCGUAGAUAUUGGAAAGAACACCGAUGGCGAAGGCACUUUACUGGGCUAUUACUGACACUCAGAGACGAAAGCUAGGGUAGCAAAUGGGAUUAGAUACCCCAGUAGUCCUAGCCGUAAACAAUGGAUACUAGAUGU
rnacentral:rRNA from 1 species